ensembl:lncRNA TTN-AS1 TTN antisense RNA 1
CCCACUCUCCCAGGCCCAAAUUGGAUCUCAGCGCCUGGGAGCUCCAACUUUAGCAAGUGCGAAAUCCUGUCUUCGGUUUUGGAAUUUUCAUCCGCACAGACUAUAUCAGCCACGGAUAGGAUAUGUGAGAAUACCAGCAUGUCAAGGCUGGGAAUCAUCCUUAGGCAUCACCUAGCCAGUCCUGCCUCUCAUUUUAAGCUUCUUCCUUUGGUGAACUGAAUGAGGCACCAGGAUACACAUGAACUGCCACUGGACAUGAACUGCACACAAUAAAAACCCGGCAUUGAAAACGGGCUGGCUGCCCUUCAGAAGUGACAGUGUCCUGAAGCGGGGUGAUGAUGGCAGGUGGAUAAACAGGCAUUUCCUGAUCAGGAGACACAACUUCUGGAACUAAAGAAAGAAACCACAAGAUUUGUCAUGAUUAAGUCACCAUAGAGACCUCACAGAAGGGAGCAUGACAUCAAUUCCAGAGUGGGACAGCUCAACCUCAAACACCACAUUUUGAGUUUCUGUACAGGUUGUCUUUUUCCCGUCGAUGACAAAGCUGUAUUCUCCCUGGUCCUCCUUGGUUACAUCCUUGACCGUGAGGUUCUGACGUCCACGACGAGAUGUAAUUGUAUAUUUGCCAUUGGAUUUAAGCUCCACAUCAUUAUGAUACCAUUUUCCUUCUAUAUUUUCUGGGGAUACAAUGCACUCUAAUUCUCCUGAAUAUGAUUCUGGAACUUCUAUGUCCUGAAGUUCUUUCACAAACUCAACAACUGCACCUGAAGUGUAUAACAGAAAGAUAAAUCAAUUUUUUUGGAGAGGUAUGCAUCUAGACUUAGGAUAGAGAUGAUGUCUUGUAUGUCUUUUAUCUCCCCCAUACUAUCAGGUGUAUUCUUAAUAUCUACCCGCUGAUGGGCUGAGAGAUAAAUUUUCAAUAAGAAGCAGUUAUUUUAUUUUAAUUUUU